rnacentral:rRNA from 1 species
UACAGAGGUCUCAAGCGUUGUUCGGAUUCAUUGGGCGUAAAGGGUGUGUAGGUGGCGCCGUAAGUCGGGUGUGAAAUUUCGGAGCUUAACUCCGAAACUGCAUUCGAUACUGCGGUGCUUGAGGACUGGAGAGGAGACUGGAAUUCAUGGUGUAGCAGUGAAAUGUGUUGAUAUCGGAAGGAACGCCGGUGGCGAAAGCGACACACUGGGUCUCAACUGACGCUGAGGCACGAAAGCCAGGGGAGCGAACGGG